UGAGGAAUAUUGGUCAAUGGACGAGAGUCUGAACCAGCCAAGUAGCGUGAAGGAUGACUGCCCUAUGGGUUGUAAACUUCUUUUAUACGGGAAUAAAGUGGAGUAUGCAUACUCCUUUGUAUGUACCGUAUGAAUAAGGAUCGGCUAACUCCGUGCCAGCAGCCGCGGUAAUACGGAGGAUCCGAGCGUUAUCCGGAUUUAUUGGGUUUAAAGGGAGCGUAGGCGGGUGCUUAAGUCAGUUGUGAAAGUUUGCGGCUCAACCGUAAAAUUGCAGUUGAUACUGGGCGCCUUGAGUGCAGCAUAGGUAGGCGGAAUUCGUGGUGUAGCGGUGAAAUGCUUAGAUAUCACGAAGAACUCCGAUUGCGAAGGCAGCUUACUGGACUGUAACUGACGCUGAUGCUCGAAAGUGUGGGUAUCAAACAGGAUUAGAUACCCUGGUAGUCCACACAGUAAACGAUGAAUACUCGCUGUUGGCGAUAUACUGUCAGCGGCCAAGCGAAAGCAUUAAGUAUUCCACCUGGGGAGUACGCCGGCAACGGUGAAACUCAAAGGAAUUGACGGGGGCCCGCACAAGCGGAGGAACAUGUGGUUUAAUUCGAUGAUACGCGAGGAACCUUACCCGGGCUUAAAUUGCAGCGGAAUGUAGUGGAAACAUUACAGCCUUCGGGCCGCUGUGAAGGUGCUGCAUGGUUGUCGUCAGCUCGUGCCGUGAGGUGUCGGCUUAAGUGCCAUAACGAGCGCAACCCUUAUCUAUAGUUACUAUCAGGUCAUGCUGAGGACUCUAUGGAGACUGCCGUCGUAAGAUGUGAGGAAGGUGGGGAUGACGUCAAAUCAGCACGGCCCUUACGUCCGGGGCUACACACGUGUUACAAUGGGGGGUACAGAAGGCAGCUACCUGGCGACAGGAUGCUAAUCCCUAAAACCUCUCUCAGUUCGGAUUGGAGUCUGCAACCCGACUCCAUGAAGCUGGAUUCGCUAGUAAUCGCGCAUCAGCCACGGCGCGGUGAAUACGUUCCC
rnacentral:rRNA from 1 species